AGAGCGAACGCUGGCGGCAGGCCUAACACAUGCAAGUCGAGCGCCCGUAAGGCAAUACGGGACGCGGCAGACGGGAGAGUAACACGGUGGGAACGCGCCCUUCGGUUCGGAAUAACUCAGGGAAACUUGAGGCUAAUACCGGAUACGCCCUUACGGGGAAAGAUUUAUUGCCGAAGGAACGGCCCGCGUCCGAUUAGCUUGUUGGUGAGGUAAUGGGCUCGACCAAGGCGACGAUCGGUAGCUGGUCUGAGACGGAUGACCAGCCUCACUGGGACUGAGACACGGCCCAGACUCCGUACGGGAGGCAGCAGUGGGGAAUAGUGGACAAGUGGGCGCAAGCCUGGAGUCCAGCCAUGCCGGCGUGGAC
rnacentral:rRNA from 1 species